UAAGCGACUAAGCGUACACGGUGGAUGCCCUGGCAGUCAGAGGCGAUGAAGGACGUGCUAAUCUGCGAUAAGCGUCGGUAAGGUGAUAUGAACCGUUAUAACCGGCGAUUUCCGAAUGGGGAAACCCAGUGUGUUUCGACACACUAUCAUUAACUGAAUCCAUAGGUUAAUGAGGCGAACCGGGGGAACUGAAACAUCUAAGUACCCCGAGGAAAAGAAAUCAACCGAGAUUCCCCCAGUAGCGGCGAGCGAACGGGGAGCAGCCCAGAGCCUGAAUCAGUGUGUGUGUUAGUGGAAGCGUCUGGAAAGGCGCGCGAUACAGGGUGACAGCCCCGUACACAAAAAUGCACAUGCUGUGAGCUCGAUGAGUAGGGCGGGACACGUGGUAUCCUGUCUGAAUAUGGGGGGACCAUCCUCCAAGGCUAAAUACUCCUGACUGACCGAUAGUGAACCAGUACCGUGAGGGAAAGGCGAAAAGAACCCCGGCGAGGGGAGUGAAAAAGAACCUGAAACCGUGUACGUACAAGCAGUGGGAGCACGCUUAGGCGUGUGACUGCGUACCUUUUGUAUAAUGGGUCAGCGACUUAUAUUCUGUAGCAAGGUUAACCGAAUAGGGGAGCCGAAGGGAAACCGAGUCUUAACUGGGCGUUAAGUUGCAGGGUAUAGACCCGAAACCCGGUGAUCUAGCCAUGGGCAGGUUGAAGGUUGGGUAACACUAACUGGAGGACCGAACCGACUAAUGUUGAAAAAUUAGCGGAUGACUUGUGGCUGGGGGUGAAAGGCCAAUCAAACCGGGAGAUAGCUGGUUCUCCCCGAAAGCUAUUUAGGUAGCGCCUCGUGAAUUCAUCUCCGGGGGUAGAGCACUGUUUCGGCAAGGGGGUCAUCCCGACUUACCAACCCGAUGCAAACUGCGAAUACCGGAGAAUGUUAUCACGGGAGACACACGGCGGGUGCUAACGUCCGUCGUGAAGAGGGAAACAACCCAGACCGCCAGCUAAGGUCCCAAAGUCAUGGUUAAGUGGGAAACGAUGUGGGAAGGCCCAGACAGCCAGGAUGUUGGCUUAGAAGCAGCCAUCAUUUAAAGAAAGCGUAAUAGCUCACUGGUCGAGUCGGCCUGCGCGGAAGAUGUAACGGGGCUAAACCAUGCACCGAAGCUGCGGCAGCGACACUAUGUGUUGUUGGGUAGGGGAGCGUUCUGUAAGCCUGUGAAGGUGUACUGUGAGGUAUGCUGGAGGUAUCAGAAGUGCGAAUGCUGACAUAAGUAACGAUAAAGCGGGUGAAAAGCCCGCUCGCCGGAAGACCAAGGGUUCCUGUCCAACGUUAAUCGGGGCAGGGUGAGUCGACCCCUAAGGCGAGGCCGAAAGGCGUAGUCGAUGGGAAACAGGUUAAUAUUCCUGUACUUGGUGUUACUGCGAAGGGGGGACGGAGAAGGCUAUGUUGGCCGGGCGACGGUUGUCCCGGUUUAAGCGUGUAGGCUGGUUUUCCAGGCAAAUCCGGAAAAUCAAGGCUGAGGCGUGAUGACGAGGCACUACGGUGCUGAAGCAACAAAUGCCCUGCUUCCAGGAAAAGCCUCUAAGCAUCAGGUAACAUCAAAUCGUACCCCAAACCGACACAGGUGGUCAGGUAGAGAAUACCAAGGCGCUUGAGAGAACUCGGGUGAAGGAACUAGGCAAAAUGGUGCCGUAACUUCGGGAGAAGGCACGCUGAUAUGUAGGUGAAGUCCCUCGCGGAUGGAGCUGAAAUCAGUCGAAGAUACCAGCUGGCUGCAACUGUUUAUUAAAAACACAGCACUGUGCAAACACGAAAGUGGACGUAUACGGUGUGACGCCUGCCCGGUGCCGGAAGGUUAAUUGAUGGGGUCAGCGCAAGCGAAGCUCUUGAUCGAAGCCCCGGUAAACGGCGGCCGUAACUAUAACGGUCCUAAGGUAGCGAAAUUCCUUGUCGGGUAAGUUCCGACCUGCACGAAUGGCGUAAUGAUGGCCAGGCUGUCUCCACCCGAGACUCAGUGAAAUUGAACUCGCUGUGAAGAUGCAGUGUACCCGCGGCAAGACGGAAAGACCCCGUGAACCUUUACUAUAGCUUGACACUGAACAUUGAGCCUUGAUGUGUAGGAUAGGUGGGAGGCUUUGAAGUGUGGACGCCAGUCUGCAUGGAGCCGACCUUGAAAUACCACCCUUUAAUGUUUGAUGUUCUAACGUUGACCCGUGAUCCGGGUUGCGGACAGUGUCUGGUGGGUAGUUUGACUGGGGCGGUCUCCUCCUAAAGAGUAACGGAGGAGCACGAAGGUUGGCUAAUCCUGGUCGGACAUCAGGAGGUUAGUGCAAUGGCAUAAGCCAGCUUGACUGCGAGCGUGACGGCGCGAGCAGGUGCGAAAGCAGGUCAUAGUGAUCCGGUGGUUCUGAAUGGAAGGGCCAUCGCUCAACGGAUAAAAGGUACUCCGGGGAUAACAGGCUGAUACCGCCCAAGAGUUCAUAUCGACGGCGGUGUUUGGCACCUCGAUGUCGGCUCAUCACAUCCUGGGGCUGAAGUAGGUCCCAAGGGUAUGGCUGUUCGCCAUUUAAAGUGGUACGCGAGCUGGGUUUAGAACGUCGUGAGACAGUUCGGUCCCUAUCUGCCGUGGGCGCUGGAGAACUGAGGGGGGCUGCUCCUAGUACGAGAGGACCGGAGUGGACGCAUCACUGGUGUUCGGGUUGUCAUGCCAAUGGCACUGCCCGGUAGCUAAAUGCGGAAGAGAUAAGUGCUGAAAGCAUCUAAGCACGAAACUUGCCCCGAGAUGAGUUCUCCCUGACCCUUUAAGGGUCCUGAAGGAACGUUGAAGACGACGACGUUGAUAGGCCGGGUGUGUAAGCGCAGCGAUGCGUUGAGCUAACCGGUACUAAUGAACCGUGAGGCUUAACCU
rnacentral:rRNA from 1 species